GGAUUCAGGAGACAGACACUAUCUCUACUUUUAAGAUUAGGCUUAAAACUUUCCUUUUUGCUGUAGUACUGUCAUGGUUCUCAAAAUCUGGAGAGGUCGUGGUGUGUGUUUUUGUCUUCGCCUCUCCCACCAGGGCAGAACUGGACCUUGAUUCCCCGCCUCUGAACCCGCCCUGAACACACACCUGUGGCUCAUUCACACUGAUGCUGGCAGACUACUUAAGAUGGCAAGAGAGGUUGCUUCCUCGCUGAAUUGUCACACUACCUAGCGCCUUCUAGAUUCCCUGCCCAUCUUACAUGCCGUCUUGGUUCCUGUGGAUGUGUGUGAGUGAGCAUGAGCAUUUUGGAGUGGACUAUCUGAGUGAGUUGUGGAUUGAGUUGAAGAGGAGCGUGUGUGCCCCUGCCUUGGACCUUCCCUCCCCUUCGGACCCCCCUCCACUCCCUGGAGCCCCGUGUUAUCUAUCUCACUGUAUAUAUCCUCACUUGGUGCCACAUUGUAAAUAAACCCUCACCUUCUCUCUAAAA